rnacentral:RNase_P_RNA from 1 species
AGCAAACCGCCGAUGGCCCGCGCAAGCGGGAUCAGGUAAGGGUGAAAGGGUGCGGUAAGAGCGCACCGCGCGGCUGGUAACAGUCCGUGGCACGGUAAACUCCACCCGGAGCAAGGCCAAAUAGGGGUUCAUAAGGUACGGCCCGUACUGAACCCGGGUAGGCUGCUUGAGCCAGUGAGCGAUUGCUGGCCUAGAUGAAUGACUGUCCACGACAGAACCCGGCUUAUCGGUCAGUUUCACCU